rnacentral:rRNA from 1 species
GACGAAGGAUGCAAGCGUUAUCCGGAUUCAUUGGGUUUAAAGGGAGCGUAGGUGGCCUUAUAAGUCAGUGGUGAAAUCUCGAGGCUUAACCUCGAAAUUGCCAUUGAUACCGUAGGGCUUGAGUAUAGUUGCCGUUGGCGGAAUAUGACAUGUAGUGGUGAAAUACAUAGAGAUGUCAUAGAACACCGAUUGCGAAGGCAGCUAACGAAACUAUAACUGACACUGAGGCUCGAAAGUGCGGGGAUCAAACAGG